CAGAGAACCGAACGUUAGUCGUCCUAAUCAGGCGUAAAGGGUGUGUAGGCUGCUUUCAAAAUCAUAUCUUUCAUCCUAGCUAUUAUAACGAAGAUCUGUUUAAAGGCAAUAUACUUGUAAAUAUCUUCAUUCUAAGGUAAAGAUAGGAUGAAUAAAAGCUAGAAUCAAAACGAGGAUAAGCCAAAUAAUACUUAGAGUAGGGAUGAUAUCCGUAGAUACUAAGUGGAAUACUAAUAGUGCAAACUAUUUAUCUAGAAAUGAUUGACGCUGAGAAACGAAGGUGAGAAUAGGAAAUAGGAUUAGAUACCCAGAUACCUCUCACUGUCAACGAUGAAUGGUGGUUGUUAGUUUAUAGAAGAACUAGUAACGAGCCUAACGCGAAAAAA
rnacentral:rRNA from 1 species